CAUGUGACAACUAUCCUCAUCUGCAUAUGGACAGGUACGCUAUGGUGAGCGGGGUAGAGAGUUACCGGGCUGGGCGUGUGAAUGGAGGUUUAAAGUUCAUCGAGAAAUCUCCUAAGUAGCCCUAGGACAUCGUUAGUCUACAGCAAGAGGACUACUGUUUCAUACCGCCCCUUCACUUCGGAAAAUAGCUCAUUGUAAUCAACAGAGACAGGCACCCCUCACUGUCAGUCUGGCUGCUGUGUCCCCAUUGGUCCAGAUGUGAGAGCAGAGACCAGCAGUGUCACCUCUAACCCUCAGGGCCCGUCGUCAUGAAAAUGGUGUUGUCGUUACCAAGGCCGUCGUGGGGGUUGUGGUCUGUGUUAGUCCCAGGCCUGGCCCUACUGCUGUGCCUGGCCCUGGUCCUGAUGGGCUGUGUGAUCAGGAAGAAGAGAAGGAUGGAGGGAAUGUAUCGGCCCAGUGCGGAGGAGAGCAAACAGACAGGACCACGGGGGGCUGAGAGACCAGGCCUGCCCCUGCCCAAGGAGGAGAGACUCAUCUGAUACCUGCACUCUAGUCUGGACGCUACACACACACAAACUCUCUAUUCCUCCCUCUCUCUCUCACUACCAUUGCCUCACUCUCCUCUACCCUGGACAUGAAGCCAGAAUGGGUUAUUAGUAAGUAUGUAUUGUGUUGUGUAAAGUUAUCUGGAGAUGAAGUGUCUUGUUAAAUAUGCCAGAACAUGCCUGGUGGAUGUGCCAUGUUCUCUCCAGUUUCUCCAACUGUGCUGAUGUUGACAUCAGUGUGUCAACCGGUGAAUGCUGAAUGCCCUGUCAGGGUUGUGUUGUUUACCUGGAGGUGGACUAGAUGUUGACAUCAGUGUGUCAACCGGUGAAUGCUGAAUGCCCUGUCAGGGUUGUGUUGUUUACCUGGAGGUGGACUAGUUGUUGACAUGUUUACCUGUAGGUGGACUAGUUGUUGAUCAUACAGAGAAAAGGGAAUUUUAAAAGUUCCUCUAUAUGCAAAAUGUCUCUUUAUUGUGGCAGUCAUACUGUUACAUGUGUACAAACUAUUAUUUAAGUGUAUCCCGUGUAUAAAGCAUUAGUGUGUGUGUUUUUAUAUCUUGAAAAUGAAGAGAAGAAUGGUAAGGCACUAUGAAUGAUUUCUAAUGCACUUCUGAUGAUAUUAUCCAAGUGAAAAAAAAUAAAACUCCCCUCAAAAAGUAUAAAA